rnacentral:snoRNA from 1 species
AGGGGACUUUAUCUCCGAUUGCAUGCCAUCAUUUAGGUGUAAUCGGUAAACGAAUCCCCCAGAUUGGCUGAAUACUACCAAGGUAGUAUUCUAAAGACAUUUGCAGAAGAAUCAACAUCGUUACUCAUUUAGAAGUAUUUUCUUUUCUUCUUUUUUUUUAUUUUUGAAAGAAAAUAA